AUCCUUUUGUAGUUCAUAAACAUAGUAAUUAGGUGUUCCCAUUCAUGUGUGAGACGUGCCCCCCAAAGAGCUUGUUACAGCAUUGGUACAUUACCUGUCUGAUG
ensembl:snoRNA